AACGAACGCUGGCGGCAUGCCUAACACAUGCAAGUCGAACGAGAACUUCGGGUCUUUUGGCGCACGACUUCGGAACCCGUGGGGAGCGUCACUUAUGUUCGGAAUAACUCCCCGAAAGGGAUGCCUAUGCCAGAUCAUGUCUUCUGACCGAAGAUUUAUCGCCUAUGGUUGGGCCCUCGUUGGAUUAGAUUGUUGUUAGGGUAAGAGCCUACCAAGGCGAGGAUGCAUAGCUGGUCUGAGAGUAUGCUCAGCCACACUUGGACUGAGAAACGGCCCAGACUCCUACGCGAGGGAGCAGUGGGGAACAUAGGACAACGGGGGAAGGUAUGAUGCAGCACGGAUGGGGGAGUGCUGAAGGCCUUAGGGUUCUAAAGCUCUUUUACCCGGGCUGAUAAUGACAGUACCUGGAGAAUAAGCUCCGGCUAACUACGUG
rnacentral:rRNA from 1 species